rnacentral:rRNA from 1 species
ACAAUGGAGAGUUUGAUCCUGGCUCAGGAUGAACGCUAGCGGCAGGCCUAACACAUGCAAGUCGAACGGCAGCACAGAGUAGCAAUACUUGGGUGGCGAGUGGCGCACGGGUGCGUAACACGUAUGUAACCUACCUCUAACCGGGGAAUAGCCCGAAGAAAUUCGGAUUAAUACCCCAUAAUAUUAUUGAAAGGCAUCUUUUAAUAAUUAAAACUCCGGUGGUUAGAGAUGGACAUGCGACUGAUUAGCUUGUUGGUGAGGUAACGGCUCACCAAGGCUACGAUCAGUAGGGGACCUGAGAGGGUUAUCCCCCACACUGGUACUGAGACACGGACCAGACUCCUACGGGAGGCAGCAGUGAGGAAUAUUGGUCAAUGGACGCAAGUCUGAACCAGCCAUGCCGCGUGCAGGAUGAAGGCCCUAUGGGUUGUAAACUGCUUUUCUACGAGAAUAAACCCCCGCUCGUGAGCGGGGCUGAAGGUAUCGUAGGAAUAAGCACCGGCUAACUCCGUGCCAGCAGCCGCGGUAAUACGGAGGGUGCAAGCGUUAUCCGGAUUUAUUGGGUUUAAAGGGUCCGUAGGCGGAAUUGCAAGUCAGAGGUGAAAGCCCACAGCUUAACUGUGGAACUGCCUUUGAUACUGCUGUUCUUGAGUAUAGUUGAAGUGGGCGGAAUGUGCGGUGUAGCGGUGAAAUGCAUAGAUAUCGCACAGAACACCUAUUGCGAAGGCAGCUCACUAAACUAUUACUGACGCUCAGGGACGAAAGCGUGGGGAGCAAACAGGAUUAGAUACCCUGGUAGUCCACGCUGUAAACGAUGAUCACUCGGUGUUGGCGAUAUACUGUCCAGUGCCCAAGCAAAAGCGUUAAGUGAUCCACCUGGGGAGUACGCUCGCAAGGGUGAAACUCAAAGGAAUUGACGGGGGCCCGCACAAGCGGUGGAGCAUGUGGUUUAAUUCGAUGGUACGCGAGGAACCUUACCAGGGCUAGAACGUAGUUUGACAGGCUGAGAAAUCAGCCCUUCUUCGGACAAAUUACGAGGUGCUGCAUGGCUGUCGUCAGCUCGUGCCGUGAGGUGUCGGCUUAAGUGCCAUAACGAGCGCAACCCCUACCAUUAGUUGCCAGCGGUUCGGCCGGGGACUCUAAUGGAACUGCCCGCGCAAGCGGUGAGGAAGGUGGGGAUGACGUCAAGUCAUCACGGCCCUUACGUCCUGGGCUACACACGUGCUACAAUGGCCGGUACAAAGGGCAGCCACUUGGUAACAAGGAGCUAAUCCUUAAAGCCGGUCUCAGUUCGGAUUGAGGUCUGCAACUCGACCUCAUGAAGCUGGAAUCGCUAGUAAUCGGAUAUCAGCCAUGAUCCGGUGAAUACGUUCCCGGGCCUUGUACACACCGCCCGUCAAGCCAUGGAAGCUAGGGGUGCCUGAAGUCCGUCACCGUAAGGAGCGGCCUAGGGUAAAACUGGUAACUGGGGCUAAGUCGUAACAAGGUAGCCGUACCGGAAGGUGCGGCUGGAACACCUCCUUUCUAGA